rnacentral:rRNA from 1 species
AAGACAUGCAAGUCGUGCGGUAGAAGGCUUCGGCCUUUGAGAGCGGCGGACGGGUGAGUAACACGUGGGAAUCUGCCUAUUAGUGGGGGACAGCCCAGCGAAAGCUGGAUUAAUACCGCAUACGCCCUACGGGGGAAAGCAGCAAUGCGCUAAUAGAUGAGCCCGCGUAAGAUUAGCUAGUUGGUAAGGUAAAGGCUUACCAAGGCGACGAUCUUUAGCUGGUCUGAGAGGAUGGCCAGCCACAUCGGGACUGAGACACGGCCCGGACUCCUACGGGAGGCAGCAGUCGGGAAUAUUGGACAAUGGGCGCAAGCCUGAUCCAGCAAUACCGCGUGUGUGAAGAAGGCCUGCGGGUUGUAAAGCACUUUCAGUUGGGAAGAUAAUGACGUUACCAACAGAAGAAGCACCGGCUAACUCCGUGCCAGCAGCCGCGGUAAUACGGAGGGUGCAAGCGUUAAUCGGAAUUACUGGGCGUAAAGCGUGCGUAGGCGGCCUGUUAAGUCAGAUGUGAAAGCCCCGGGCUUAACCUGGGAACUGCAUCUGAUACUGGGAGGCCA